AUCGCUUCUUGGUCCUUUGACUAAGAUCAAGUGUAGUAUCUGUUCUUAGCAGUUUAGCAUAAAUAAUUCAGAUGUGGCAUUCCACAGGCCAUAGCUGUCAGUGCCUUAUGAACAGAUUACUUGUGUGGAAGUUGUUGGAAGCAGGGUAUGGGAUUUUUGGUGUCCUGAGCGCUUCACAUCGUGUUUCUAGUGACUCCUU